UACGGGGGGGGCAAGCGUUGUUCGGAAUUACUGGGCGUAAAGGGCUCGUAGGCGGCCAACUAAGUCGGAUGUGAAAUCCCCAGGCUCAACCUGGGAACUGCAUCCGAUACUGGAUGGCUUGAAUCCGGGAGAGGGAUGCAGAAUUCCAGGUGUAGCGGUGAAAUGCGUAGAUAUCUGGAGGAAUACCGGUGGCGAAGGCGGCAUCCUGGACCGGCAUUGACGCUAAGGAGCGAAAGCUAGGGGAGCAAACGGG
rnacentral:rRNA from 1 species